AACGCGAAGAACCUUACCUACCUUUGAAUCCACGGAAUUUUGCAGAGAUGUGAAAGUGCCUUCGGGAACCGUGAGACAGGUGCUGCAUGGCUGUCGUCAGCUCGUGUCGUGAGAUGUUGGGUUAAGUCCCGUAACGAGCGCAACCCUUAUCCUUAGUUACCAGCGAGUAAAGUCGGGGACUUUAAGGAGACUGCCGGUGAUAAACCGGAGGAAGGUAGGGAUGACGUCAAGUCCUCAUGGCCCUUACAGGUAGGGCUACACACGUGCUACAAUGGCCGGUACAAAGGGUAGCCAACCCGCGAGGGGGAGCUAAUCUCAAAAAGCCGGUCGUAGUCCGGAUUGGAGUCUGCAACUCGACUCCAUGAAGCUGGAAUCGCUAGUAAUCGCGGAUCAGCACGCCGCGGUGAAUACGUUCCCGGGCCUUGUACACACCGGCUAC
rnacentral:rRNA from 1 species